CGAACUUGGGGAACUGAAAUAUCUAAGUACCCAAAGGAAAAGAAAUCAACAGAGAUUCCCUUAGUAGCGACGAGCGAAAGGGGACCAGCCCUUAAGUUUAUAUUUUGUUAGUGGAAGCACCUGGAAAGUUGCGCGAUAGAGGGUGAUAGUCCCGUACACGAAAGCAAGAUAUAGAUGAAAUCGAGUAGGACGGGGCACGUGAAACCUUGUCUGAACAUGGGGGGACCAUCCUCCAAGGCUAAAUACUCUCAGCUGACCGAUAGUGAACCAGUACCGUGAGGGAAAGGCGAAAAGAACCCCUGUGAGGGGAGUGAAAUAGAACCUGAAACCAGAUGCAUACAAGCAGUGGGAGCAUGUCUUCGGACGUGUGACUGCGUACCUUUUGUAUAAUGGGUCAGCGAGUUACUUUUUGUGGCAAGGUUAACCGUAUAGGGGAGCCGUAGGGAAACCGAGUCUUAAUAGGGCGUCUUAGUCGCAAGGAGUAGACCCGAAACCGGGCGAUCUAGCCAUGGGCAGGUUGAAGGUUGAGUAACAUCAACUGGAGGACCGAACCCACUAAUGUUGAAAAAUUAGGGGAUGACCUGUGGUUAGGAGUGAAAGGCUAAUCAAGCCCGGAGAUAGCUGGUUCUCCUCGAAAUCUAUUUAGGUAGAGCCUCUCGUAUUACCAUCGGGGGUAGAGCACUGUUUGGGCUAGGGGGUCAUCUAGACUUACCAACCCCAUGCAAACUCCGAAUACCGAUGAGUACAGCGAGGGAGACACACGGCGGGUGCUAACGUCCGUCGUGGAAAGGGAAACAACCCAGACCGCCAGCUAAGGUCCCUAAAUUACAGUUAAGUGGGAAACGAUGUGGGAAGGCCCAGACAGCCAGGAGGUUGGCUUAGAAGCAGCCAUCCUUUAAAGAAAGCGUAAUAGCUCACUGGUCGAGUCGGCCUGCGCGGAAGAUUUAACGGGGCUAAAACUGUAUACCGAAGCUGCGGACACAUACUUUGUAUGUGUGGUAGAGGAGCGUUCUGUAAGCCUGUGAAGGUGUGCCGGGAGGCAUGCUGGAGGUAUCAGAAGUGCGAAUGCUGACAUGAGUAACGAUAAAAGAGGUGAAAAUCCUCUUCGCCGAAAAACCAAGGUUUCCUGCGCAACGUUCAUCGGCGCAGGGUUAGUCGGCCCCUAAGGCGAGGCCGAAAGGCGUAGUCGAUGGGAAACAGGUUAAUAUUCCUGUACCAAAUGUAACUGCGAUGGGGUGACGGAGAAGGCUAGGCUGGCCUGGCGAUGGUUGUCCAGGUUUAAGCACGUAGGCUGAGAGUUUAGGUAAAUCCGGACUCUCUUAAGGCCGAGAUGUGAUGACGAAUUACUCUUAUACGAGUAAGAAGUAGUCGAUGCCAUGCUUCCAAGAAAAACCUCUAAGCUUCAGGUUACAUUUGACCGUACCCCAAACCGACACAGGUGGUUGGGUAGAGAAUACCAAGGCGCUUGAGAGAACUCGGGUGAAGGAACUAGGCAAAAUGGCACCGUAACUUCGGGAGAAGGUGCGCCGCUGACGGUGAUGGGACUUGCUCCCUAAGCUAUUGGCGGUCGAAGAUACCAGGUGGCUGCGACUGUUUAUUAAAAACACAGCACUCUGCAAACACGUAAGUGGAAGUAUAGGGUGUGACGCCUGCCCGGUGCCGGAAGGUUAAUUGAUGGGGUUAGCUUCGGCGAAGCUCUUGAUCGAAGCCCCGGUAAACGGCGGCCGUAACUAUAACGGUCCUAAGGUAGCGAAAUUCCUUGUCGGGUAAGUUCCGACCUGCACGAAUGGCGUAACGAUGGCCACACUGUCUCCACCCGAGACUCAGUGAAAUUGAAAUCGCGGUCAAGAUGCCGUGUACCCGCGGCUAGACGGAAAGACCCCGUGCACCUUUACUAUAGCUUCACACUGGACUUUGGCUUAAUUUGUGUAGGAUAGGUGGGAGACUUUGAAGCAGCGACGCUAGUUGUUGUGGAGUCAACCUUGAAAUACCACCCUGAUUACGUUGAGGUUCUAACUCAGGUCCAUUAUCUGGAUCGAGGACAGUGUGUGGUGGGUAGUUUGACUGGGGCGGUCUCCUCCUAAAGAGUAACGGAGGAGUACGAAGGUACACUCAGCAUGGUCGGAAAUCAUGCAAUGCGUAUAAAGGCAGAAGUGUGCUUGACUGCGAGCCCGACGGGGCGAGCAGGGACGAAAGUCGGUCUUAGUGAUCCGGUGGUUCUGUAUGGAAGGGCCAUCGCUCA
rnacentral:rRNA from 1 species